rnacentral:rRNA from 1 species
CCUANGGGUGGCAGCAGGCGCGAAAACUUUACAAUGCGGGAAACCGUGAUAAGGGAACUCCGAGUGCCCGUAAAAUCGGGCUGUCCAUCUGUUUAAAUAACAGGUGAAGAAAGGGCCGGGCAAGACCGGUGCCAGCCGCCGCGGUAAUACCGGCGGCUCGAGUGGUGGCCACUAUUACUGGGCUUAAAGCGUUCGUAGCUGGUCUGUUAAGUCUCUGGGGAAAUCUACUGGCUUAACCAAUAGGCGUCUCAGGGAUACUGGCAGACUAGGGACCGGGAGAGGUGAGAGGUACUCCAGGGGUAGGAGUGAAAUCCUGUAAUCCUUGGGGGACCACCUGUGGCGAAGGCGUCUCACCAGAACGGCUCCGACAGUGAGGGACGAAAGCUGGGGGAGCAAACCGGAUUAGAUACCCCGNUANUC